CUUGUGCGCGAGUAACAAAGUUUACAUUCAAAACUUUCAUGCGAAGUGAAUGUGAGAGGCACCCGCAAGGGAGCUGACGGAAGAUCCCCAGUGAUUGCCCUCCUUGUGUGGGACGGCUGCAUGCUGCACUCCGGGGGCAUCAUGACUGCAAUUGCCGGUCUGGUGCACCAAGAGCGUACACGUUGUGACCCGAAAGAUGGUGAACUAUGCCUGGCUAGGGCGAAGCCAGGGGAAACUCUGNUGGAGGCCCGUUUGGAUUCUGACGUGCAAAUCGAUCCUCACAGCUGGGUAUAUGGGCGAAAGACUAAUCGAACCAUCUAGUAGCUGGUUCCCCCCGAAGUUUCCCUCAGGAUAGCUGGUGCUCGUUUCAAGAUGAACAAGUUUCAUCCGGUAAAGCGAAUGAUUAGAGGCCUUGGGGGCGAAAUGACCUCAACCUAUUCUCAAACUUUAAAUGGGUGAGAAGCCCGGCUUCCUUGAAUGAAGCCUCGCAUUCGAAUUGAUAGAGCACCCAGUGGGCCACUUUUGGUAAGCAGAACUGGCGCUGGGGGAUGAACCAAACGUUGAGUUACCGGUGCCCCGAAUGAACGCAAAUUUGACCCCAUGAAAGGGUGUCGGUUGCUCCAGAACAGCAGGACGGUGGGCCAUGGAAGUCG
rnacentral:rRNA from 1 species